rnacentral:rRNA from 1 species
AUGCGCAGCCACCCCAUGCUGCCACCGCCCUUCACCCACAUCUCCCCGACGUCGCCGGCGCCGCCGACGUUGGUGACGUACACCAGCAGCCAGUGCGGGUUCCCCUGGAACGCGAACCGGAUCCCGCCCUUGCGCAUGCACGGCACCCUUCGGUACAUGACGGGGACGAUGCCCGCAUGCCAGUCGGCCAUCUUCUUGAAGGCCGGGAUGGCGAGGUCGAAGUGGGUGCGCGGCGGGUUGCACCAGCCGCCGUUGUUGGUGUCCUGCGCCCAGUUGGGCGGGCACAGGUUGGUCGCGGUCACCGUGAUCACCGGCGAGCCCCUGUAG